CGGGUACGUUAAUAGCGUAUUCGUUUGACGUUAGCGACAGAAGAAAGCACCGGCUAACUCCGUGCCAGCAGCCGCGGUAAUACGGAGGGUGCGAGCGUUAAUCGGAAUUACUGGCGUAAAGCGCAUGCAGGUGGUUUGUUAAGUCAGAUGUGAAAGACCCGGGGCGUCAACCUCGGAAUAGCAUUUGAAACUAGGCAGACUAGAGUACUGUAGAGGGGGGUAGGAAUUUCAGGUGUAGCGGUGAAAUAGCGUAGAGAUCUGAAGGAAUACCGGUGGCGAAGGCGGCCCCCUCGGACAGAUACUGACACUCAGAUGCGAAAGCGUGGGGAGCAAACAGGAUUAGAUACCCUGGUAG
rnacentral:rRNA from 1 species